rnacentral:rRNA from 1 species
UACGUAGGGGGCAAGCGUUGUCCGGAAUUAUUGGGCGUAAAGAGCGUGUAGGCGGUCCGGUAAGUCAGCUGUGAAAGUCAAGGGCUCAACCCUUGAAAGCCGGUUGAUACUGUCGGGCUAGAGUCCGGAAGAGGCGAGUGGAAUUCCCGGUGUAGCGGUGAAAUGCGCAGAUAUCGGGAGGAACACCAAUGGCGAAGGCAGCUCGCUGGGACGGUACUGGCGCUGAGACGCGAAAGCGUGGGGAGCAAACAGG